rnacentral:piRNA from 2 species
CUCAGUCGGUAGAGCAUCAGACUUUUAAU